rnacentral:rRNA from 1 species
CUAAGGAAUAUUUCCGCAAUGGACGAAAGUCUGACGGAGCGACGCCGCGUGGAUGAUGAAGGCCGAAAGGUUGUAAAAUCCUUUUGAACUGGAAGAAUAAGCAGUGUAGGUAAUGACAUUGUGGUGACGGUACAGUUUGAAUAAGCAACGGCUAAUUACGUGCCAGCAGCCGCGGUAACACGUAAGUUGCGAGCGUUGUUCGGAAUUAUUGGGCGUAAAGGGCAUGUAGGCGGUUAUCUAAGCUUGGUGUGAAAGGCAGGGGCUCAACUCCUGGACUGCAUUGAGAACUGGAUAACUAGAGUUACUGAAGUGAAAUCAGAAUUCCAGGUGUAGGGGUGAAAUCUGUAGAUAUCUGG